GCUCCACUUGUUGCGGCUCGUCUGCAGAAUGUUUGUGAAUAGAAGAAGCGACAGCAGGAGAAGAUGAUCUGCAGGAUCCUGCUGCUCCUCAUCCUCACCUCAUGUGUCUCUGGAUCAUUUGUAGUCAAUGUGACACAGACCUCCUAUCAGGCAGAGGAGAACCACAACAUCACACUGGAGUGGACGUUCACCACCAACCCUGACAGAUCCAUCAC